CGUCGCUCACACUUGGGUGCUACUCUCCCGGCCACACCCAGCCUUCCGGAUCUGGCCCAGCUCACAUCCUGCACUCACAGCCCGUCUCUUGUGCGGGCAGCCAGACCCUCUUUUGGAGAGCAGGGCUCCGGAGACUCAUCUCAUUUCCCAUCUCAUGAAGCUUCUCUUCCUUGUUGUAGCCACUGAAGCCGCAGGCGAGGUUUGGGGGGACACAUCAUGUCCUGUCACCCAGGGUAGGCCCCCAGCAGGCUUCAGAGCCUGGGGUGGUGAAACCUUGAGGGCCAGCCUGCAGUGGGCUCAGGAGGAACCUGCGAUAAGAUGUUCAGCAGUUAGGGCAGCUACUUUGAGGUCGGGAGGCCGGGAACCCACAGGAAGUGACUCGGUGCAGAGCCGAUGUGCCUCUGUCCCGGCAGCCAUCCUGGGUCAGGAGCUCAGGCUGGUGAGGCUGGGGCCAUGUCGGCGGAGGGCUGGGAUACCGGGCCGGGCGGGCACCCUGGGGCCUCAGGCGCAGGUCCGUGCCCCCCUGGGACCGCGUCCGCCCCCUGGAGCCUGCCCCACUGGAGGGCUUGCCUGGCCGCCGCGGUGCUCUGCUACAUCAACCUCCUGAACUACAUGAACUGGUUCAUCGUUGCAGGGAUGCUGCUGGACAUACAGAAUUUUUUUCAGAUCAGUGAUAGCAAUGCUGGUUUGCUUCAGACAGUCUUCAUCUGCAGCCUGCUGCUGUCUGCACCUGUGUUUGGCUACCUGGGCGACCGGCAUGGCCGGAAAGCCACGCUGAGUGUUGGGAUCCUGCUCUGGUCGGGGGCAGGCCUCUCCAGCUCCUUCAUCUCCCCCCAGACUCACUGGCUUCUGUGUCAGCAUUCUUGGCUCUUCUUCCUGUCCCGGGGAGUCGUGGGCAUAGGCUCUGCCAGCUACUCCACCAUCGCGCCCACCGUCCUGGGCGACCUCUUUGUGAGGGACCAGCGGACCCGAGUGCUGGCCAUCUUCUACAUCUUCAUCCCUGUUGGAAGCGGCCUGGGCUACGUGCUGGGGUCAGCCGUGCUGCAGCUAACUGGGAACUGGCAUUGGGCCUUCCGAGUCUUGCCUUGCCUGGAAGCCGUGGCCUUGACCCUGCUUAUCGCGCUGGUUCCAGACCCGCCCCGGGGAGCUGCUGAGAAGCAGGAAGAGGUGGCCGUGGGGGACCUGAGGAGCAGCUGGUGUGAGGAUGUCAGGUACCUGGGGAGAAACUGGAGUUUUGUGUGGUCGACCCUUGGGGUGACCGCCAUAGCCUUUGUGACUGGAGCACUGGGCUUCUGGGCCCCCAAGUUUCUGUUCGAGGCCCGUGUGGUGCAUGGGCUUCAGCUUCCCUGCCUCCAGGAUCUGUGCAACGACCAGGACAGCUUGAUUUUUGGGAUUCUGACUGUGGUGACUGGCAUCAUGGGGGUGGUCCUGGGAGCAGAGGCUUCAAGGAGGUACAAGAAAGUCAACCCGCGGGCUGAGUCCCUCAUCUGUGCCUGUAGCCUGCUCAUUGCGGCCCCCUGCCUCUACCUGGCUCUCAUCCUGGCCCCGGUCACUCUUCUGGCCUCCUAUCAGGUUGGCGUGUUCCACCCGUGCUCAUUCACGUGGCCGCCUGGACCUGGAAGAAGGCGUGGGCUGGACGUACACGUUGGCCUCCCUCCUGUCCGUCUGUGGGCUUCCGGGUUCUCCUCUGAGUGGAAGCAUCCUCAGCUGUGUGGCCUGCCUUCCCACAGGGCUGUCUCAGGGCAGCGCUCCUGGGAAGCACGGAUGGAGGCUGCCACGGCUCCUGAGGCCCAGGCCAGGAACGGCACCGCUGCCUCCGUAUCUUGUCGGUCGGUGCAAGGUGCAGGCCGGCCGGGUUCACCGUGGCCGUGCAGGGUGUGGGCUCCAAGAUGCAUGAUCACUGCAUGGCCACUGUCUUCCCUGUGAUUUGACAGGGCCUCUCUAGCGGCCGUGUUGUUGGUAGAGUGAGAGAGAACAAAGUCAGAAACAGGAACCCCGUGAGGAGGCUUUCCAGUAAGACAGGCUUGAGCUGCUUGCGGCGUGGGCACAGGUGGGGUGGAGGAAGUGUGGAGAAGGGGUCAGAUUCUGGGUAUGUUCGGGUUAUGCGUUGGGUAUCGGGGGAGAGCGGGGAGGGAGCCAGGGUGACCCUGGGUUUCGGCAAGCCAUCCCAGGCAGCACUGCCAAAUACCGAUCCGGCACACUGAGGGAGGGACAGCGCUUUGUUUCGGAGGGGGUGGGAUUAAGAAUUCGAUUCUCGAGGUGUAUAAUUCGAGAUGCCUCUUCAGGCAUUAGCUGGAAACGUCAAGGUUUGGGUCUGGAGCUCGGGAGAGCGGUCUUGGCGGUCAGGGGAAGCCGCGAGGCUGAGCGCGGUCGCCAGGAGUGUGCGUGCACAUAGGGGAGGACGGCGGCUGGGCAGAACGCUCCAUGCCAGGGUGUGGGUCCGGAGGGGGGCGGACAGUUCCGCUCGCCACACUAUUACGAGAGCCAGCUCUCACCAAGGCCUUUCCCUCAGGGAGGGGACGCUGCCCUCCUCAGCCCUGAGGACUCGUGAGCAAGGACCAGGGAUGGGAGUAUCUGCCCCGCCGGCUGCCCCCAGGGGACUCGGAGGAGGUGGGCAGGGUCAGCAAGGAUUCUCUGGCCCCUGGGGUGGCCCAGACAGCUGGGCUGGGCAGGUGCCCCAGCUCUGGGGGGCUCUCCUACAACUUGGUCCUUGGGGGACUUCUCUUUCUCUUGCAUCUUGAACUGGAGUAGCCAGCCUGGCCAGGGGCUGCCUGGGAGGGACCAAGAGGGACCACCUGCCCUUGCUCUGAGGGCCGUAGCUCCCUGCCAGGAUCUAGCAGGUGUCUCUUCUUGGACAGGCAGCAACACCCACCCAGAGAGGCUGCAGUCUGCUGAGUUUUCCAGGAGGACGGCAGAACUCAGCCUCCUUGCUGCCUCGCUCCCCACCUGCCUUCCUACCAGGUUGCUGGGGCUACUGCCAGACUCCGGGAACUGAGCGGUGCCCUCGCGCCCUGAAGCCAGUCCCUGCAAUUACCGGUUGGCAGGCCCAGGGGCAAAGUGUGCCAGCCGGCCUGGUAGCUUGCUGGCAGCCAGCGUGUGCCUGGGGCCUGUCCUGACCGGCUUAGCCACACGGGGCAUGGAGUCGGUCUGAGGGAGGCCUAGGAUCCAAUCCUCGCAGUUCUGAGCUCAGUUACUGCCGGCUGGAAGACUGGCCCCUCCCCGCCACAGGGGUCCGCCUUCCCCGCACCCCCCAAGCCCACCUGUGUGCGCACCUGGAGAGGUGUGUGCAAGGUGUGCACACGUCCACGAGGCCGCCAGAAUACACGCAUACCCACGCAUUCACCCCGGCAGGCCCGUACCAUCGCCACGGUGGUGUUGCUUUGGAAGUCAUCCCUGUUGGCUCACACGUGCGUACUUGUGGUGUGAGCUGUGUGUGUCCGCGUACGUGUGCAGAUGUGUGAGGAGUCUGUGCACACUUGUGUGGCUGCAGUGUAUGUGAGCACAUGUGCCUGAGUCAUGGGAGGCACGUAGAGUGGGAGCGCAUGUGUCUCUGGCCGGGGUGACUAAUGCCAGGGACAUUCAUCCUCACUGCCCCAGCUCGAGGGGGAAAUCCUCCUGGGUCUGAAAGGAAAAGGCCAGGGGCUGAGGGGCUCCACGUUUCUCAGGCUCCAGGCAGCGUUCCCAGGCCCUCUAACCCGGGGACGGAGUCAGGGUGCGGGGAAGCAUGCAGGGCGCUAAGGGGACAAGGGCAGAGUCAGACCUCCCACUUGGAAGUCCCCUCAGGGGCCGGUGUUGGGAGGCAUGGCGGGGCCUGGGAACCUGGUGAGGAGGAGAGGGGAGGCCUGGACCAGGCCAGCAGCCGCGGCCGGAGUUGCUGAGCCGUGGAGCUGAGCGACAUUAGGGUGCAGAAUGGACCACAAGCAUGUAGGAGCCCCCACCCCCAUGUCCAGCCCCAGUGGCCAGGUGUAGCAGGUUUUCCCAGACAGCUUGCUGGGGGCAGCCUGUCCUGGGGUCUGUCCUGGCUGCCACGGCUGUCCGGGCCGACAGGAGGAGAGACAGGGCUUGGGGACCGGCUGGUGGGAGGCGCCUGUGGCCUUCUGGGCACAGGAGGGCGUCCAGGAGGAGCCCGGGGCUGUGAACAGCGGGCUACAUCCCUCAAGGGGACUCAGCCCCAAACCGGGGCCCCUUCGGUUGGGUGUUCUCUGGAUUCCGAGUUGGCCACAGGAGCCCCCGAGCUCCGAGACCCAGUUUGCAUGCGGCCCGCGGGGGCCAUAGCAGCACAGGCCGAGGGUGGCCCACCCCUUUGUGGGAGAGCCCUCCUGGCGCCUCGGGAGCCUCUGUAAUUACAGGGCCAAGAGGCAGCCACUCCCAGCCUGGCCUUCACCCCGCGAAGCCGCGCGUGGAGGAUUGGUGACCGGAUGGUUUCCAGGCCUUUGGGAACCAGAGCCCAGGCUGACCCGGGCACAGCCCCGUGACUCCAGGAAUGACUAAUUCCACUCCAGCAAUAAGCUCUUGGAAGCUCUGAGAAAUGACUUUCCCCCCCUUCUUGCUGCUUCAUUAAGCUCUUCCUGAGUGUUCCUGGCCCUCGGGGAGCUGCUUCUGUCCUGCAACUGGGCGGUGGUUGCUGACAUCCUGCUGGCCGAGCUCCCUGCACCCCCU